UUGGACUCUAAUUUGGAAAAGAAAGUGUGGUGUUACUUAUCCAAUCAGAUUCUCAAUUAGUAGGAGAAAAAGCUAUCAGAAUAUUAUCUACUCAACAUGGAACACACACAUAACUGCCUUCUCUUAACUAUCUGGUCUCAUGUGCUUUAGUCUAAGGUAUAUAGAAACUUGGGUAAGAAUUGUUAAAGGGAGAUGUUGAAAGGUUCUACCAGAAGAGUAUCAUGAUCAUAUCUGAAUUAAUAGAUACCAAAUGAGAAAGAAUAAAACUAGACUUAAUUAUUCAAACAGUGUUUACAAUAGUUUAAAGUGAAUAGCUAAAGAUUCCUGAAAAUGGGAAUCACACUUAAAAUAUAUACUUUAAAAAAAUAUAUUUUUAAAACACACACAAUUUUUAAAAUGCAUACAUACAUGCUUUUCCUCAGUUCCGCCCUUCCCCCUCAUCUUCAUACCUAUUACAGAUGGAGUCGUUGUCAUGCAUUCCUUGUAAGGAAUAAUUCUGAGAAAAUCAAAAUAGUAAAGUCACAUCUAAAAAUAUGUGAAGGUUUAUACCCCAGAGGAGCUGCAUGAUUUAAAUAAUUAACAAUGACAAAAUAUGGGAAAUAUAUGUGAUUAUGGAUAAUGAAGGGUGCUUAACUAAAGACGGAAUAAUAUAAUUUUAUAUCAGGCUAACUAUUGACAUGGCUUCACUUACCUGGGAAGCUAGAUUCUAUGUGUAAUAGUAAACACCUGGGAGGAAUAGUGAUUGUUUACAAGGCUGACUGGUAUCUGGACUCAGAACUGGCCAUCAGUAAAUCAACUUG
rnacentral:lncRNA from 10 species